AAUAUGUAUUCCUACGUCAUCCGAGACUCUGUUCCUCCUUUCUUCUUGCGUGUGGUUCGAACUACAUGACACUAUCCAUUUAUCCAUUGAUUACUUUAGCUGUCGCUGGACUCCCUGUCGCCAAAUCCUUUGGUUGAAGUAGCAGUGUAUUGCCCUCCUAGGGCUGCGACGGUUUGAUCUUCGCUGGAGGACUAUUUUCUGCAGGUGGUUCCUCCUAGACACUCGAAGUGUUGGAGUCAGUCCAUAGUCGCAAUGGCUCCUCCUAAGAAGAAGGAAGCAAAGUCUGAUCAGGGCCUUUCCAGGACAGUUGAGCAUCUGUCUGCAGAAUUGGCUGAGAUUAAAUCUUUUUUUCAGUCACAUCAAUUGGAUCCUGCCGUGUCUGCAGCUGGGUUCUCUUCCCCACCCAUGCCUGCUUUGAACAGGGAUGCGGAUGUUGAGGAUGUUUUGUCUCUGGCUGCGUCAACCUCUCACUUUAGGGACGAGGAGGAGGGACAGUCAUCUGAGGCUGGCUCAUUGUCUUCAAACCAGAGUACAGUUAGCGAGUCAGCUGACAGCUCCAUACAGGAGGUCAUGGGUAUGGCUUUGAGGCGGCUGCAGUUGGAUAUUCUGCAACCGGAAGAGUCUGCCCCUGGGAGUGCCUUCUUCAGGCGUGGAAGGGCUCCUUCUCCUUUUACUGUCCCUCCAUCGGAGGAAUACCUCAGGGAGUUACAUGUGUGUUGGCGAGACCCAGGGGUCUUUUCACUCCUCUCCACGGAUGGUCGGGUGUUACUAGCUAUGCACGAGUCUGUCAAGGCAGGCUUGGAUCGUAUGCCAGCGGUUGAACCUGCUGUGGCUUCAUUCGUUGUGUCACCAGAUGAAGCUCUGCGUUGUGAUGUUCGGUGCCCACAGGCUCAGUCUGUAAAGCUUACAGUACGAGUACCAGCACGUGCUGGUCAUCUUGCUUACAGUACCUGGAGCGCUGUAUAUUCCUGUCCAGUCGGUGCCACAGUAAGGAGGAAC
rnacentral:lncRNA from 1 species